rnacentral:lncRNA from 1 species
UUUGUUUUGAUUCAUUUUUAAUGAAAAUAAAUUUUGUCAUUUUUAGGAGAAUACUCAACUAGUCACCCACAAGUAUGAGAACUUUGCAUCAUCAUGAGAAGGGCUCCAACUUGGAUAAGGAUAAACAAGUAUGCAACUAGCUCUCACAGAUGGAAAAGAAUUAUCAUUAAUACUAUGGGGAUAGGAAAUUAUAUCUCAACUAUGGAAAUGACUCAUGUCUAA